AUCCUUUAACAACGCAAGGACAGUUAACCAAAAAGAAAAAAAAAAAUGUUGCUGCUAAGCCAAGCUCCAAGAGGGGCUUUAUCGGCCAAAAGACGCACUCCACUCAAAUUCGUCCCCCAAAAUCCACCAUUAUUCUUGAACUCUACCAAACCCAAAUUCAUUUCCAGAAAACAAUCAACCUUCCCCCUUACUCUUGCCAAACCCGAAGGAGGUUUAGAUUCCACUUCUGCAACCAAACAAUCCCUCUCCACCAACAAUCCAGCUCCCUCUCCUCCAACGCCCAACGACACUGUUUUUGUGGGCCAAGAGGAUGUUCCUUUAGAAGGUGUCAUUCAGUUCGAGAAACCCACUUCUUCUGGGCGUCUUGAAAAAUGGGGUCGUGUGGCUUUGCUGGCUGGUGGGGACGUGUUGGCUUUGCUCUUGUUCUCUGCAAUUGGCAGGUUUAGCCAUGGUUUCUCUGUUUUUGACUUCGAGACACUACGCACUGCUGAUCCUUUUAUUGCUGGGUGGUUUCUGGGUGCUUACUUCCUUGGGGGUUAUGGUGAGGAUGGUCGUGGAAUGAAUGGUCUGUCUAAGGCUGCUAUUGCUGCUGCCAAAUCAUGGGCUACGGGGAUUCCUCUAGGAUUGAUUAUAAGAGCAGCAUCAUCAGGCCACGUUCCACCAUCUACCUUUAUAUUAGUAACAAUGGGAAGCACAGGUGUUUUACUUAUUGGAUGGAGGAUGCUAUUAUCUAGAGUUCUCUCCAAUGAUGAGAGUAAGAAGAACGAUGUAUACCGGCAGGGCAGCCCAUUUGAACUAUUUGAGUUGCUCACAUCAUUGGUACGAAGGUGGUGACAGCAUGGCCAUUUCAGAUGUGAUGUGAUUUGAUGGAGGGGUUAUUCUCUCACAAGUCACAAGGCAUCAUCACUAUUCAGUUUUUAAAUAAGUUGUCAUUUUACUUACCAGCUACCAUUGUAACAGGUUUCAAGAUGGCGUUUAAGGAUUUCGCUCUUUGUUCACCUAUGAUCAGAAGAUUUUUAUGUUUCCUUUUUCUGUGUCGAAAGUUUGUAACACCGGGCCGCUCAUGAUAUAAGCCCAAGAGUGCCCGAAAGUGUAACUUUGUGUCUUCCUCUAUCCCUCCUUUCACUUCAGGUUCGUUUCUGGUUCCCUGUAAAAUGUGCCCCACUCUUCUGUUACACUUAAA